UACAGCUGAAGACAAAGAAUUGUUUGUUGAGGCACCUGGAUGACUCGGCCUGUAUCCGUGUUGGUGGAAUGAUGGCUGAGGCUCCUUUCAGUCUUGACACAGUCCUCCGUAGACUUGA
rnacentral:lncRNA from 1 species